rnacentral:rRNA from 1 species
ACCAGCACCCCGAGUGGUCGGGACGAUUAUUGGGCCUAAAGCAUCCGUAGCCGGUUCCUUAAGUCCUCCGUUAAAUCCACCUGCUUAACAGAUGGGCUGCGGAGGAUACUAUAGAGCUAGGAGGCGGGAGAGGCAAGCGGUACUCAGUGGGUAGGGGUAAAAUCCUUUGAUCCAUUGAAGACCACCAGUGGCGAAGGCGGCUUGCCAGAACGCGCUCGACGGUGAGGGAUGAAAGCUGGGGGAGCAAACCGGA